AGGACGAACGCUGGCGGCGUGCUUAACACAUGCAAGUCGAGCGGUAAGGCCCUUUCGGGGGUACACGAGCGGCGAACGGGUGAGUAACACGUGGGUGACCUGCCCUCAGCUCUGGGAUAAGCCUGGGAAACCGGGUCUAAUACUGGAUAUGACUCCAUGACGCAUGUUGUGGGGUGGAAAGCCUUGUGCGGCUGAGGAUGGGCCCGCGGCCUAUCAGCUUGUUGGUGGGGUGANGGCCUACCAAGGCGACGACGGGUAGCCGGCCUGAGAGGACGUCCGGCCAGACUGGGACUGAGACACGGCCCAGACUCCUACGGGAGGCAGCAGUUCAGAAUAUUGCGCAAUGGGGGAAACCCUNACGCAGCGACGCCGCGUGGAGGAUGAAGGCC
rnacentral:rRNA from 1 species